CUCGUAGGCGGUUUGUCGCGUCUGGUGUGAAAACUUAAGGCUCAACCUUGAGCUUGCACCGGGUACGGGCAGACUAGAGUGCGGUAGGGGUGACUGGAAUUCCUGGUGUAGCGGUGGAAUGCGCAGAUAUCAGGAGGAACACCGAUGGCGAAGGCAGGUCACUGGGCCGGCAACUGACGCUGAGGAGCGAAAGCGAUGGGGAGCGAACA
rnacentral:rRNA from 1 species